rnacentral:rRNA from 1 species
UACGUAGGCAGCGAGCGUUGUUCGGAAUUACUGGGCGUAAAGCGUGCGCAGGCGGUUCGUUGUGUCGGUGGUGAAAGCCCCGGGCUUAACCUGGGAAUGGCGAUGGUGACUGCAAGGCUAGAGUUUGGCAGAGGGGGGUAGAAUUCCACGUGUAGCAGUGAAAUGCGUAGAGAUGUGGAGGAACACCGAUGGCGAAGGCAGCCCCCUGGGUCAAGAUUGACGCUCAUGCACGAAAGCGUGGGGAGCAAACAGG